GUCAGAUGCAGCAACCGUUGAACACAUGGCAGAUUGUUGAAACUGUCUGCUUGAAAUAUUCAGCAUAUUCCGUUGUUUCAGUGCCGAAGAGGAGUCCUUUGUGUCCGUUCCUGCAUGGUACUGUUUCCAGAGGCAACGGCGACAGGGCACUGUCAAUCUGACUCAUUUGGUCCGUUCUCUACUAGACGAAUGCUUAUUUGCUGUCUGUCUGCUUACUAUAGUUAGCAAGUUGAGCGAAAUUUGAAAGUGAACUCAUCUCAGAUCCAUGGCAUUGAAUUCAGAUUGGUUCCAUCCCUUUCACAAAGACUGCACGGUACAGGAUACCAACAUAGCGAAAUCUCAAGGAUACACAUCAUUCCUCCAUUCAGCCACCGAAAAAGGAUGCGGGAAAAGAGGUAUCCGACAUUCAAAUCGAUGAUUACGUAUUCAAUUAAGGUUUCGUUGGUUGCCAUAAUGAGCCAAAAUUGAGUUGUAAUUAAUGUCGUUAAUUAUAAAUGAACCGUUUCAAGUGAAGUUUAGGUACUUUUUAAGAGUCUUUAAUUUGAAAUAAUCCGAUGAACUUCUUUUCAGCCUACGUUGAAGGACGUAAGACACACAUUUAGAGCAAUUAUUCCUUCCAGCAUUCAAAUCAAGAAUCGAAACUUAAAUUUAUGCAAACCAAUUCGAUUGAUGAUAACAUGGGGUUGUGCUACAUCAAGAGGAACUGGUUUGACAUAAAUAUAAUUCGCAUCAAUUAUUUCGGAUUGAUCCCAUUGAUAGAAUAAGUAAGUCAUACAGUUUCUCUUCUAUUCCUAGCGAGGAAUAUCCACAGCGGUGUACGUACUGUCCGGCCGACAGCAGCCCCGUUCAAUGUCCGCCAGACUGUUUCUGUAAGCGACCGGAAGACACAACUGAUCGAGUUUAGAUCAACGACAAGAGGUUAUUUCGAAACGAAGUUAAUCAAAAGUCUGUUUAUCUGUGAACCACUGUAUUCUAUCAAACAGUAAAUAGUGGCUACGUUUUAACUUGUAUUUGAUUAACUAACAGUAGAAGCAAUGUAGCAAAUCUAGCAUUCAUUUGACAAAUGUUGAAUUUGAUGUAAUUUGUAAAUGAACAUAAAUCUUUGAAGUCUAGUAUUAGUUAAUAAGGCUUUAUGGCAAUUGUAACGCGCUUGAGCAAAGCAAAUAAAUUAUUCCACAAGCUCAUCUUAUCUUCAUCGUAAUUGUUCGCUCCGAUUCCGCUUUUCAAAUCUAAUUGACACCAUAGCUAAAUGUAAGUUACCGAGCAUAUCGUUAUAUGCAUAAUCAUAACAUAACUGUAACUAAAUAAACUGAAUAAAAAGAUUACUCUUAACUAAUAUAAUAUAGAGUACAGCA